rnacentral:misc_RNA from 1 species
ACUCCUCCACCCUCUACCUUUUUCGAAAGGCAUUGGGCUGGGAUUUGGGAGCUUGCGGGUCCCUGGUCGAUCCGCUCUCCUUGAAUACAUUAGCGAAGCCCUUUGCGGCCUUGGUGUGAUAAUUAUCUGCGCCUUGGCUUAGCGAAUCUAUAGGGACUUGCUUCCAACCGUCUCGCAAGGGACAACUAUUACCA